CCUACGGGGUGCAGCAGUGGGGAAUAUUGGACAAUGGGCGAAAGCCUGAUCCAGCCAUGCCGCGUGUGUGAAGAAGGCCUUCGGGUUGUAAAGCACUUUCAGUGGGGAAGAAAGCCUUGGGGCUAAUACCCUCGAGGAAGGACAUCACCCACAGAAGAAGCACCGGCUAACUCCGUGCCAGCAGCCGCGGUAAUACGGAGGGUGCGAGCGUUAAUCGGAAUUACUGGGCGUAAAGCGCGCGUAGGCGGUCUGAUAAGCCGGUUGUGAAAGCCCCGGGCUCAACCUGGGAACGGCAUCCGGAACUGUCAGGCUAGAGUGCAGGAGAGGAAGGUAGAAUUGCCGGUGUAGCGGUGAAAUGCGUAGAGAUCGGGAGGAAUACCAGUGGCGAAGGCGGCCUUCUGGACUGACACUGACGCUGAGGUGCGAAAGCGUGGGUAGCAAACAGGAUUAGAUACCCUAGUAGUC
rnacentral:rRNA from 1 species